rnacentral:sRNA from 1 species
UUUAGUCAAUUAUUCUAAAACACCAAGCAUGUCGUUGUAGUAUUUUAGGUGUCAAUCCAAAUGAGUGUGAUGCAAACAGAUGAGAUGUGAUCAGAAGUUACUAAGUCAAGCCAAGCAAUAACAGUUUUGGGGUUUCUACAGUCCUAAGUGAACAUGCAGAAAACAGAAACAAUAACAAAAUUACUAAAAUCACUCGACCACAACAGGCUGAUGCCAGAAGUAGGAUGUGGUCGAGUAACAGGUAGGAUAUGAAACAGAUAUACUCAACUGCACAGUCUGUUGCCAGACACUGGGUGUGGUCGAGUAUACUGGUCGAGUAACAGACAGGAAAUGAGACAACUGUACUCGACUGCACAGUCUGUUGCCAGACACUGGGUGUGGUCGAGUAAGUUGGUCGAGUAAUUGUAAAAACUAAGAAACAGGCAAUGAGAACGAUUAAGCGAUAACGAUAAAACAGAGAAAUAGUAUAGACGAGAAAUUCCUAAGGAUGGGGUAAUCGAGUAGAGUGGUAUCCUGAUAGGUUACGGGUGACGUUGGCUGGUGUGAGAAGAAGGGCGAGAUCAAAUGGAAGGAAAGGCAGAGCUCGUGAGAAGUUCCUGAGGAAGCUUCUAUUUAAAAGUGGCUAAGGCACAAAAAGACAGCUCGCCAGCUCGGCACAGAAAGACAGCUCGCCAGCUCGCCAACUGUGUCGUUUUACUUUUGGGUUAUCGAAAUGCUGCGUUUUGUAUUGAGUCUCAGUAGAUGCUAUUUAAGGAACCUUCCCUUUUAGGGUUUUGUUAUCAAAAUAAACAAUCAACAACAUUAAUCUUGAAAUUCUCUCUCUCAUCUACACUCUCCGCCGUUCAAGGUGCAUUUCCUAUUGUCUUGUUAUUUUAUCAGUCUUAGUCUUUUUCUUGUCUUCGAUAGGGUCAGACCUUAUCAUUGGUGCUUCUUCAUUGGAGAGACCGAUGGCUCCACCGUUACCUAAAGCCACCGCAUCUGAUACCGCCGUCGAGUCACCUGAACUCGGCUCGACAACAACACCACCACCUGAGGAACCUCCGCCAGCUCCACAUUUGGACACACGAGUAGACAAAGUGGAGAAAGAGAUGACUUAUGUCAGAGAGGCUCUAACCCAGAUCCUUAGAAAUCAGAUCUUUGGGGUUACGCGUGAGGGAAGUGCAGCUCCGAUAGGGUUCUCCACUCCGACACCGGCACUGCCUUUACAAGCUUCAUACCCACAACAUCUGGAAGGACCGAAUAGAGGAGUCCGUUUUUCUUCUCCAGCUCCGGCGUUACCAGUCUACACCUCUCAUCCUCAACACUUGGAGGUACAGAACAGAGAGACUCUGUUUUCCGGCACAAAUCAACGGGACACACACCCUCGGCCCUUACUCUUUGACCAGUCGCGAUACCAGGCGUCGACUUCAGAGAUACCUCGACUUCCAGCUUCACCCUUCGAACCGCGUCGCUUUCACUCGUCACCAUUAGAACCACCAGGGUUUCAGCUGAAUGCCUCCACGGGUCUUCCAUCAUCUUCAGGUUUUCCAUCUAAUCCUUCCACGGGGUUUCAGACUACUCCAACCUUCCAAACACAAACGUUUCCGCCUCAAUCUGCGCCACAUCAACCUCGGUUUGAAGCAGCCCCGCGUAGGACUGUGGAUUAUCCGGCUUAUGAAGGAGGCAAUGCCGACGAUUGGUUGUUCCGGCUAGAACAGUGCUUCUUAUCCAAUCGCACCCUAGAGGAAGAAAAACUGGAAAAGGCUGUGUCUUGUUUAACAGGAGCAUCAGUUACAUGGUGGCGCUGCUCUAAGGACAGAGAACAAAUCUAUACCUGGAGGGAAUUUCAAGAAAAGUUCAUGUUACGUUUUCGACCAAGCAGAGGCAGUUCUGCUGUGGAUCAUCUC